UUUGGUUUUAUAUAGUUUUGUAGUGCUGCAGUUGUUGUGGGUUGCAGAUCUUGAGCUUGAUGGUGAGAGAUUUAUGCAGAUCUACUUGGUUUCCAGUUCAAGAACUCUUAGAGGUUUACUAGUUGAAUGUCCACACAAGGGCUGUCGGUACCUCUUGAAGGUCGAUCUAGUCCUUGGACUACAAAAGAAUGAGAAGCCCGUUUUUGCCAUUCCAUAUCCCGGUGUUUAUUCGGCCC
rnacentral:misc_RNA from 1 species